AAUUCUCAACCCCUCCAGUUGUGAUGGGGCUUGGAUAUGGGGGCUUGCGGGUCUUUACUGAUGUUAAAGGUCAGCUCUCCUGAAAUACAUUAGCGGAACCGUUUGCAGUCCCGUCACUGGUGUGAUAAUUAUCUACGCUGUGAUGGAUUGCUCUCUGACUAGUUCAGCUGCUAAUCGUCCGUUAUGGACAAUGUUUAAUGAACU
rnacentral:misc_RNA from 1 species